UUUUUUGUAAGGUGAGUCGUACCAAGGUUUCCGUAGGUGUACCUGCGGAAGGAUCAUUC
rnacentral:rRNA from 1 species